CGAGUGUGGCCCUAAAAAGCAAAAAAAAUAAAAAAAUAAAAAUAAAAAAUAAAAGUGAAGAAAUUUCAAAAACUUGUAAAAUUUUCAUCUCUUCUCUCCUAUAUAUACACUUAACAAACUUUCUGUCUCGCUCUUUUUGUCUCUAUAUCUGUCUCCUUCUCAUGUAUCUAUAUUCAUUUUACAAUAAUUUUUGCAAUAUUUAUAACCCACCACUCUUUCAGUCGGGUGGGCCCUGGUAAUUAGGGAGAUUUGCCUUUGCAGAAGGCACAGUUGCUAUUGAACUUCACAUGACCAAGAGUUGAAUUUUUGCCUUGGUCUUGCCAUAGGUGCAAUCGCUUUGGACCCCUACAUUCUUGAAUUGCUUGAUUUAGAAUUUAAAUGCUACUGUUAAUUCAAAGGGAACUAAAAACAUCCCAAGUAAGACUUCAUGCUUGCCAUCAAUACCUUGAAAGGAAAUAGAUGCUUCCCUUUCCAAGUAUGGGAAUGACUCAUACUACAUCUCAGAGGGUUGUCAGAUUGUCAAUAAACACGAUAAGACUUUCUAUUUUCCCAGCUCAGAAGACAUAAAAAAUUGUGAUGGGGCAGCAGCCAUUCCUAUUUCUAUGAUGAGCAGGCCUAUAGUAGAUUUGUAUUAAUUUUGUAUGCCUUGCAUUAUUUAGCCAGUCACUGAUGCUUCUGUCAUGUAGUAAAUCCAGAAAAUUACUAUUUGCUGAAAUUUUUCACUGCUUCAGUUUAUGCAGAGAUGUAAGACAGUUUUCUGAGCCUGGGGUAUUUCUGAUUACAAGAGAGAGAAUAUGGCUGUAAUUGAUUUCAAGUCCUUGGUCACUUUUCUAACCUGGAAUUCUUUUUCCCAAUUUUUUCACUUAAUGCAUUGGCUCAACUUUAUAAGUCAGGAAAAUAAAGCAACAAUGAUCAUUCACUUCAUAUACAGAGAAGUGGGGGUCUGUUGAUCCAAAUGGUCUCUUCAAGCUUUAAAAGUAAGAUCUUGGAAGACAGUGCAAAUAAUCUUUAUGCCUGGAAUUGAGAAUGCUGUUAGUUGUUGCCUCAUGACCCUAGAUCUUAUUAUUAAUUUGCCUCAUGGAUUAGAAAAAGCUACACAGACAGAUUUUCCUUGCAUUGUUGCUUUAGAACUAAAUCGACCUGAAAAAUAAUUUUAUUGAUUCGGACAACUGUCCUUUAACUGCAUUAAGCUAACUCUAAUCUACAUACAGUUCAUUUUGUAGCAGACCAGAAUAAGCAAAACUCAUACCUUUGGUAUUUUUCUUCUUUGUAAUUCCCAGAGUACAUUAAUAAUACGUUUGCUUCAUUAUGACCACACCAUCUAGGUUGACCAUACAGUCUAAGUUUACCGGUAGGGUUGCCAAAGGAAAUGCAAGAUGCCCAGUUGAAUUUAAACUUCAGAGAAACGAUGAAUAAAUUUUAGUAUAAGUGUAUCCCUAAAGUUGCAUGGGAGGAACUUAGACUAAAAAAUUAGUCCUGUUUUAUUUGAAAUUCAAAUUUAACUCAUAUGUGCUAUAACUUUGAUAAAUAUGACAGCCCUAUUUAUUGGGAGAGUUGUAAUUUUCUGUAAUUGUGUUCUUUUCCAUAAAUCCAUUUCAAUAGGUAGAUAUGUUUAGGUGUUAUAUAAGUUUUGAUACAAAUACAUUAACAAAUUAGGGAGAAAUCUUACUUUAGACUACAUAUUCUAAUUUGUGACUCUGAAAAUAUGGUCAGUCUAAAGCUCCUUUUCAAACACACAGACUCAUUUUUGUCUCACAUAACCUUGGCACAUAGUAGGAGCUCAAUCAACAUUUCUUAAAUAGAGUGCAUAAAUUACAAAAUGAUAAGCUGGCACAGCAACAAAAGAGAGAGUGAGUGUGUGUGUGUGCCUGUGUCUUCUAGGAGCACAGUGCUAAAGCUUAGCUCCUACCUUCUUUUCACAGCGGACUCUUUCAUUAGAGGGUGGUUCAAAGUCAGUCAAAUGCUAUAUCUAAGAGUACGUCAAUCCAUAUAUGUGUUACUAGAUACUGCAUCCUUUUUUUAGAGACUCUAUUAAAAAAGGAUGAGUUAGUAAAAAUUCUUUGUACAGUCCAUGUUGGUUUCCUCAUACUCUGUUACCAAAUCUUCAUUUCUAAAAAGUCAGGGAACUGCAACAAUAACUCCUGUCCCCUACAUUUUUUUUUCCUUUUCUUUUGUCUUUAUUUAAAAGAAUCUUUAUACUCUUCCAUUGAGAAGCUGAAUCCAUGGCCCCUCUCUUUGAACCUGUGCAAACCCCCAUCAAUAGAGUCUGACUGAAGGGAAAAUUUGUGAUUUUUCCAUGAAAAUAUCAUGCAUUUCUACCUUACACUUUUGGGAAUCUUGCUCUAGAACCCAGAUUGGGAUGAAUUCUCCAGUAGUUUCCCCAAGAAAGUUUACACAGGAAGAAAAUUCUUUUGACCUUUUUGCACAUUUGAAAUUGUUGUUUUUUAGUCUCUUGCUUGGUGAACUGACUGGCUGGCACAUUUUAGAUUGAACUUCAUUUCAUUAGGAAUUUUUUAUACAUUGUUCCAAUAUAUUUUAUUUUCUAAUAUUGCUCUUGAGGAGGAAGAUGCUAAUCUGAUUCCCUAGUUUGUGUAAGUGACCAGGUUUUUCAUCUCUGGAAAUGAUCACAGCUUUUAAAAAAUUUCUAAUAUUCUGAGACUUUAUGGUGAUGUGACUUUUUUUCUCAUUUAUUAGGCUGGAUGUUCAGGAAGAGGGUUAUGUCUUUUGGUUCUAAGAAAUUUCCUUACAUGCUUGCUUUGAAAUUUUCCUCUUUCCCAUUACCAUCAUUUUCCAUUCUUAUUUGAGCUCCUAUUUGUUAGAUAUUGGAUAUUCUGGGUAAAUCCUAAUUAAUUUUUCUUUGCUAUUGUCCACUUUCUGUUUUAUUGAGAGAGUUCUUGAUUUAAUUUUCUAUUACAUCUUCUAUUGAAUUACUAAUUUCAGUGAUCACAUUUUUAAGUUUCAGCUAUAAUUUUUUCUACAAUUGUAUCUUGUGUAUGCUAUGAUAUUUUUUAUUUCCUUGAUGCAGCAUUUUCUUUUUUCUCUUUUGAAGAUCAUCAAUUACAUGUUUUUGAGGUUUUCUUCGGGUCACUACAGCAUUUGCUUCCCUCAAGAGGCUCAUUUUUCUGUUCGUUUUGAUGUUUGUGAUAAAUUUUCCUGGAAUAGCUGAUCUUCCUUGUCUAUCCAAUCAGAUCUAAAAUCAGGCACUUAAAGCCUAAUUGAUUAGUGCUGUGGACUUGUAGGGCAAUCAGGUAGCCCACAACUUUUGAAUUGGUUAGUUUUCUCUGGGGUAAUUGGCUUUAUUAGUAGGGGAUCCUUCGGUGUUCUGUGAAGGGCUGUGUGACUACUGCUUUUAUGAAACUGAAAUCUUCCAGAAAAUAUUUUCACUUUUUUUCUUUGUCUUCAGUAUUGAAUUUAAAUGACAGCCUUGUGGCUGGGCUAAAGAGGCUAGAGUUCUCUGGUUCAGUUACCCUAGAGCAGUGGUUUUCAGCCAUUAGCAGAUAGCAGAAUCACCUGGAAGGCUUGUUUAACCACAGAUAAGUGGGCCUAACCUCCAAAGCUUCAGUAGGACUGGGGUGAGGUUGGAGACAACACAGUCCCAAAAAGCUGCAAGAUGUGAGGCACCGGGGACUGCAGUUUGAGAACCACUGCUUUCGCGUGGAGGUGAGUGAGAAGUCUGUCACCGCAUGGCAUAACUUCUCGUGCUCUUAGACAGUCCCUCAGUUUUGCCAUCUCCAACCUGACUUCUGAUCUCAGUGAUACCUACAGCCUCUAAUUCCUGAGACCUUCUGGGCGUCUAGAGGGUGUUAUUUUGAGGGGAAUAAGCAGAAAAACCAUUUUACAUCAUUUUGAUGGAGUGUUAUUUUGAGUAGAGUAGCAAAGAAGCUUUCUUGUUCCCAUCAUAUGAAACAGAUGAGCAAAACCAAGAUUCUAGGGGCUGCCCACCACAUUACUUGUCUCUUAGUUCCCUUCCAUCUUCAAAGCCAGAGACAUCUCGUUGAGUCUUUCUUGGAACCCAUCACUUUGACACUGACUCUUCUGUCUUCCUCUUCUACCAGUUAAGGACCUUUGUGAUUACACUGGGCCUGUCUGGUUAAUCCAGAAUAACCUCCCCAGUCUAAGCUCACCAGGAAUAUACCACAUUAUGACCCAGUUCUUAAAGAGACAAGAUAAGUGAACUUUCGACCAAUUAGAGAAAAAUUGAUGGAUAAAUUGUGCUGACCAGGAAUACAAUUAAAGUUCAAGAAAGAAAUGGAUCUAUAAAGGAUGAUCUAAUUGCUGGGAUCCUUAAUGCAGCAUAGAGAGCAUCAAAGUAGACUUUCAAACUAAAUGAAUAGAAUUAGCAAAAUGAAAGAGAACAUGGUAUGUGAGGGGAAGCAGGCAGGGAAAGGAAGAGAUGAACUAUUUGGCAGAAUAGAGGCCGUGUCUGUUAAAGUCCUAUACUGUUUAACAUGGAAUACGGAGCUGUGUCAUAAGACUUGAAACCCUCUGCUUCUUUGGAUGAAAAGAAAGAUGGUAAAGUUCUUGAUUAGAUGGUGAUGAAGAUGAGUUUGGAAAGAGAUGAGUUUGCAGUUGCAGAAAUUGAGGGCAAGUAUGGAGAUGAAGCAUAAUCCCCUCCAUUGAAAUGUAAACAAAAUCGAUAUUGACCAAGGCAUGAGUCAUCAGAGCUAAGUAUUUCCCUCUCUCUCAAGCACGUCUGCAUAUAUUAAAACUUUUAGGGAAAGAAAAAGUCCCACUGACUAACUUAGUUGGACCCAUUGACAGACUAAGAGGUGUCCUGAGAGAUACUAACAUUUUACAAAAGUUAUUAUGAGGAGUGUGGGAAGGACAGAGGGAGACAUUUAUUAAACAAAGCAAACAAAGCAAAACUCUACAGUGGAGGUAAAUUUGUCCUCUGCAAUCGUAGGGGUGUCUGUAUUUGUGAGUUUUAAUGACAAAUUUCUGUGAAGAGUAUACUUGAAGAAUUCUGCUUUGGAGAAAUGUCUAUUCAGGUCCUUUGCCAGAAAAAAGAAUGUAUACAUGUAUGUGUAACUGGGUCACCAUGCUGUGCAGUAGAAAAAAAUAUAUAUGAAGAAAUAAAAAUUAAAAUAAAAAAAUCUGCUUUUAUUAAUUGGUGACCUUUGUAAAAACAAUAAACUUUGAAAAACCUUAAAUCCUUUUUAAUAUUGGACCCAUACUCAUUACCUAACAGAGGUUUUGUGAGGAUUAGUAUAAAUAACCCACCUUCCUCAGUGGGCAUAGUUUCUAAACAAUUUCCAGGCAGCAAGAACAGAACUCAUUGGAAGGAUAUGGGGCAACUCACAUGAUUAAAAGGAUAGUGAAUGAGGAUGGGUCCAGAGAUCUAGGGAGAAAGAACCAAAAGGGUUGGGUCUUCAAGUUGCUGCCAUUAUAUUAUCUCAUUUCUACAAGAUUUAUGUCCUUAUAUUACUCUAUUCAGGAUCCAGAUUCCCAGGGGAAACAAAGUAUCCGAUGAGCCCAGUGUCACAGUAAAAAUUGCACAGCACAAAACUAAACAGACAGGGGAAACUUUAUUCAAGGCUGUUGCAGGAGGGGAGAGAGGAGAAAACUUGGUCAGACCUCAACUCUGCUGAAACACAAGAGGAGUAGGGUUUUUGAGGGGUGGGAUGAAGAGUAGAUGUAGCUUAUCUGUGCUUGCUAAUUGGCUUUACCCAAAAGGAACGGAAAGUUUCUCCUACCUUCCUGACAGGAGGUAAUUUACAGCUUGGAGCAAUGCUACCACCAAAGUUAGUAUCCUACCUUCCCACAGAGACUGAAGAUGAGGGUUCUAUCUUUCUCGAUGAUUAUAUUUCGAAAGGAUGAUUCCCAGGUCCUAGAGAAAGAUAGUCUUGGGUUGUAAAACUGGCAAGAGGCUUUAAAAAAUGAUUUCCAUCUCAAAGCUUUACAAGCUUUAUAAGGAAAAGGCUCUAAGGAAAGGAAACGUUAAGGCCAUGUUGCUCACCAGGGCACGGCAUGGGAAGCAUCAGAUGUGGCAAGGCUUAUUUGGAUUUAUAUUCCCACCAAGGCAACACUGAGUGGGGAAAAGGGUCCUUCUCAAAAGAAAAGUGAGAACCACCAAAACAAACAAACAAAAAAGCAGUUGUUAUGGAUAACUCAAUGUGCCUGGCACUGUGUAUACAAGUUAGGAAAGAAGUAUAACACUUGAAUGAUUUGAAUUUAUAUAAAAGAAAUAAACAGAUCUACUCAAAAUACUUAGCAAACAAUUCAAAGGCAAUGUAGAAGCAAGAAUAAAGUCCCUAAAAAAAAUCAUGCCACCCCACAAGCAAUACUCAGUACAGGGUUGCCGUCAGAAGAAAUAAAAUCCUAUCAUUGUAAACAAUUAACAUUUUACUGGGGCCCCUUAAAUUUGGCAGAUGGAGGAUUAUGAUACAUGAUGUGCAGCCACAGAUCUCAAAAAUUCUUUAUAUUUAUCAAUUUCCCUCAGGGUGCUAUGCUUUCCCAAAGUGUCCCCAAACUGUUUUUGUUAAUCAGUUUCCCCACCCCCACCUCCUGCCUGGCCUUGUUUUCACAUUAGUUUCUCUUGGAAGUACUGGUGCUGCUUCUCAUGCAGAUAUUUCAGGCAUUCCUGCUUUCCCAGUUAUGUUUUUCUAUGCUUUAUUCUAAUGAACAACCAAUGCUGCUGCUUCCUUAGAUGUCAGAGCAGGGACAUGAGGCCCUUUGAGUCCCAGUGUAAACCUGUCAUUGGAGCUCAAAGAUUUCAGCCUCUGGUGCAGAGAUGAGAACAUACAAAGCUGUAACAACCAAUGGAAAAGUUAGCCAUUGGGUACCCACUGUGAUGGGUGCUCAGCCCUUUCAGGUUUCCAUCCUAUAAAUCGGAAGGCCUGCCAUAUAGACAGUAUCUGUGUGGGCUGAAGAAUGUCAAGAUGAGGAAGUAUUGCUCAUCAUAUUUCCUCAGCACCUACUACACACAGAAUUCAUAUUAUUUUAUUUCUAUUCAUUUUAUUUUAAAAAUUGUUGAGAAACAGAAUUGUGAGGUUAAAGGAGUCAGCGAUUCUUCAGCAGGUACCAAGAGAAGCACUGUCUUUUGAACACGUUGGGCAGCCGUAAAGCAAGGCUGCGGUGUUGCAGACGGCUUUGCACGUGAGUGUGGGAAAAUGAAUAGCAAUUACUCGAGGACCUUUAGUAGUUCCCUUGCCUGAAUGGAAUAUUUAAGAGUCUUGCAGGAGAGGGGAAGAGAGAAUGAAAAGGAAGGGAGAGGAAGGAGAAGGAAGGGAGUUUGACCAUGACCACCACCAUUCCCAUCUUUCUUCAUGUCCUAGAGACCAGACCGGGUCAUCGGGUAAACACCAGAUGUGUGAUAGCAUGUGCUGGUGUGGCCCCUUUACCUUUAUAUAUGUAUCUAUGAAAACACUGCUAUAACAAGAAUAUUAUCUUGUUUCAGAAGAGUAUGGAAUGAUUUAGCUAACUGAGUUUAUAUGGCAAUCUAAUUAUAGUGUUUCUUUUCAGUAAUUCUCUAUUAAUGUGUAUUUCAAGAGAACAGAUACUAAAACCCUUUUAACAGUUUCAAAGAAAAUUCCUAUGAUGAAAAACAGAAAAAUGCUUAAAGUGAACAUAAAAUGUAAAAGCUUUGUACAAGGAAACAAACUUUUGUCUUCAAAAACAACAAAAAAUUUGUUUUCUCAUAGUUGUGGUAUUUGAGAAGUCCAAACUCAGGGUGCCGACCAGUUCCGUUCCUGCUGAGAAAACUCUUCCUGGCUUACAGAUAACUGCCUUCUCGCUGUGUCCUCACAUUAUGGAUACAGAGAGAGCUCUGUCUUCUCUUCUUUCUUGUGUGUGAUUUGAUAU